AGUGAACGCUGGCGGUAGGCCUAACACAUGCAAGUCGAACGGCAGCACAGUAAGAGCUUGCUCUUACGGGUGGCGAGUGGCGGACGGGUGAGGAAUACAUCGGAAUCUACUUUUUCGUGGGGGAUAACGUAGGGAAACUGACGCUAAUACCGCAUACGACCUACGGGUGAAAGCAGGGGAUCUUCGGACCUUGCGCGAUAGAAUGAGCCGAUGUCGGAUUAGCUAGUUGGCGGGGUAAAGGCCCACCAAGGCGACGAUCCGUAGCUGGUCUGAGAGGAUGAUCAGCCACACUGGAACUGAGACACGGUCCAGACUCCUACGGGAGGCAGCAGUGGGGAAUAUUGGACAAUGGGCGCAAGCCUGAUCCAGCCAUACCGCGUGAGUGAAGAAGGCCUUCGGGUUGUAAAGCCCUUUUGUUGGGAAAGAAAAGCAGCAGGUUAAUCCCCCGCUGUUCUGACGGUACCCAAAGAAUAAGCACCGGCUAACUUCGUG
rnacentral:rRNA from 1 species